AUUUAAUGAGUUUUUCUCUUUGUGUUUUAGUGCUGAUUUCCAACAUCUACUAUGGACAAACUGAAGAAAGACCAAAAGCUAAAGUGAGCAUUAAACCUGGUCAACAUGUAUUCAGAGGAGAGACAGUCACUCUCAGAUGUGACAUUGAUGGUGAAGGAGUCACUAGCUGGAAGUACAGCUGGUAUAAAGACGGUUCAGACAGUGUUUUCAGUGAACUACAGGAACACACAUUCAGUUCUGUUAAUGAGUCUGACGCAGGUAAAUACUCCUGUUAUGGAGCAGAGAGAGGAGGAUCACGAACAUCACACAUCAGUGAUGAAGUUACACUGACAGUAUCAGAUAGACCCAAGGCAGUUUUAAGUGUUUAUCCUCAGAAGUGGUUGACUGAAGGAGAUCCAGUGACUCUGAUCUGUGAGGUUAAAGGCUCCUCUACAGGCUGGACAUUCAGCUGGUUCACUGUAACUGCUUCAUCAGGCAACAGCAUUUAUAAUCAGCUGCUCUCAGACAGCAGCAGAGGAGCGGGAGGAACUACACGGUCAGUUCUGCUGCUCUAAAUCACACAGGAGUUUAUGUGUGCAGCGCAGAGAGAGAAAAACCACCCUAUUACACAUGGAACAGCAACGAACAACCACUAUGGGUCACUGGUGAGUUCAGACUGAAUCAC